AGGACGAACGCUGGCGGCGUGCUUAACACAUGCAAGUGGUGCGACGAACCAGGGCUUGCCCUGGGGCUAAGCCGCGAACGGGUGAGUAACACGUGAGUAAUCUGCCCCGAUGACCGGGACAACCCGAGGAAACUCGGGCUAAUACCGGAUGUGGUGCCCAGGUUUAAGCCUGUGUACUAAAGGAAGCUUCGGCCUCCGCAUUGGGAGGAGCUCGCGGCCCAUUAGCUUGUUGGUGGGGUAACGGCCUACCAAGGCAACGAUGGGUAGCUGGUCUGAGAGGACGAUCAGCCACACUGGGACUGAGACACGGCCCAGACUCCUACGGGAGGCAGCAGUGGGGAAUCUUGCGCAAUGCGCGAAAGCGUGACGCAGCAACGCCGCGUGGGGGGAAGACGGGCCUUCGGGGUUGUAAACCCCGUUUCAGGAGGGACGAAGGGUUCACCGGUUAAUAGCCGUGUGGAUUGACGGUACCUCCACAGAAGCUCCGGCUACUACGUGCCAGCAGCCGC
rnacentral:rRNA from 1 species